GAUAGCUUGAAAAAGUAUAAAGGCACAAUUUUUUUACUAAUAUUUACGAAUAGUAAAUCAUAUUAAUCAAAAUAUUCAAUUUAAAUCACUACUGAAUAUAAUUUAUUAGCACAUAAUAUAUAAUUCGCACUUGUAUGAAACUAAAACACGUGUUGUGAAUGUAGAAACUAGAAACAUGUGGAUAAAUAUUAUAAAUAUGAAAACAGUGAUCAGAGGCGACGAGCGUGCCAACAUGCGCGACUAAUAGAGGUUCUAUUUCUAUUUUGUUGGUAGCUUUUUUUCGAGACUUAAUGAACGGUUUAGCGGGCAGCUUCAACCUGUUAAUUUUGUCUUACAGUGAUCCGCGCCCAUCUUAAAAUUUCACUCAUCAUUUUUUUCAUAACGCGCCUAAAGAAGUAUAACUUUAAAAAAAUAAAAAUGAAGAUUAAAAAGGGUAUGUUAAAAAGUUACAAUUUUCUUGGUAAGUAAUGUGAAACGGAAGUGGCUUGCCCUCUUUUUUGUGCCCUACGGAUGCCAUGUUAACAGGUUUUCCCUGAAGAUUAUCGUCAAACGAAAAAAAAAAAAAAUAUAUUUUGUAAAUCAUGACGACAAGCAAGUUGCAAGACGUAACCUUCCUUUAGACCUACGAAUUAUUCGAUCUUCCUUCCUGGACUUUCUUCACGUUGAAAAUGUUUCUAACAAUCAUUUAUUCACCACUGUAUACUGCGUCGUUGUUUACUGUGUUACCAUGAAGCAGGCACGUAUAAUUCAGAUAAUAAACUGAAGAAAAAUCGUACUAUAAAGAUAACUGAGGAGUCGCACGCCAUCAAAGAGAGGCUGUUGUAAUGUAUACGCCUGCGUUUCAGCCAGACGUUUGCCACGGAAUUCGUAUUAAAUUAAGAACCGCCAAUGCUUUUGUAAACUAAGAGACGUGCGACAGCUGAAAGGCGAGACUCUGAGAAAGCGACGUUAGCUGUUGCUUCUCUUCCAGGAAGUAUAGUCAGUUCCGAUUUCCGUAGACCUCGUAGUUUCUGAAGGGGGAUACAAUUUUCGAGCGUUUUGAAAAUUCCGAUCGCACGCGGAGAAUAGUUAGGUACGUGGUGGGGGAACCGAUAGAGGAGGAGACAGCAUGUAGAAAUGACACUUGCAUUCUUGCACACUUGCAUAAUUUCACACUAAUACAGUUGUGUAAUAGCACAAUUUAGCGCUCGCAUUCUUACAUAUAUAUAUAUUUUUUAAUCUGUUACCUCAGCCAGUGAAAAUUAUGUUUCCGAUAUGUAAUAAUUAUAAUAAGCAAGAAGUUUCUAAUCGAUAGCGCGUGGCCUACACGCACACAUCCCCCCCCCCCACCCGUCAUUUAACUUUUCAACUCAAAUCUUUCUUCUGCAAACGAAAUAUCUCGAAAUCUCUAUAUGUACCUGGUUGCAACCAAAUAUUUACUAAUAGGAUCUAGUAUAUAAGCGCUGCGAGAAAAUAACUUAUUAUUUUUCAUAGCGGCGACUACAACUGUCAAGAUAAUCGCACCAGUUCAAAAGUUUUGACUUCAACAAGUAGCCGAAGCCAGGUCCUACGCCAUUUCAAACAAAAAAUAAAUAAAAAUAAAUCUCGGAAGCUUUGUUGCAGUCGGUAUCAAAAUAUUUUAAAUUGAAAGAAGGCAAGGCCUAAUCCCACUUCAAAGUCCGUGUUUGCUACGAAGCUACUGUUAUCUGUAACUUCAAGCAACUCGUAUUGUUUUUUUGUAGGUGCACUGUUCCUUAAAAAGUUCGUAAAUUGUUGAGUUUAAUUUCCCACGGUGCAGGAAACUACAACUCCGGAAGCAGUUUCGAAGCUAUAUUGCCCCUUCAAGCGAAUGAAAGUAUAGGAUAGCCUCUUUUUGCCGCCAUUUUAUGGCGGCGUCUGCAAAUGCUGAGACGGCCUCCUGCACUCCAGUGCUUGUCGGUAACCUCAACUGCUGACAGCGGAAGAGGAAAACGCUGAACGUGCUUGUAACCAGGAUGUUAUACUGGCUUUCGGAAAACAUUGCACGUUCACGUGUUCACAUACCAAGGUUUUUUUUUUUUUAAAUUGCACUUCUGCGACGACGGAUGUUAGGAAAAAAUCGUGUUUCAUUGCAAGUCCUUUUUUAUGUUAGUGAUUGAAAAAUUAACUGUUGAUAUCUUUGAAGGUAAUGAUAAUUUUUUUAUAUGUGGCUUAUGGACUGCAGACGAUGCAACUAUAACGAAUAUAUAUAUAUAUAUAUAUAAGCAAAGAAAUUAAAUCGGUUUUUCUAAGCCUAGAAUUAGCUCUCAGAAAUAACUGUCAAUUAAGUUGUGACCAUUCGCGGUCGAAAGCAUGCGCGCGACCAAGUGUUUUGAACAGUGGCGUAACCAGGAUUUGUGUAUGGGGGGGGGGGGGUUAAGAAGCAUGGUUCCCCCCCCCUUAUUAAAACGGGGGAGUCCGGGAGUCCACCCCCGGGAAAAAUUUGGAUUUUAAGGUGUAAAAUAGUGCUAUUUUAGCAGUUUUCGGUACUUAACUUUAAAUAUUGUAAUUGUAAAAUAUAAUUAAUUUUUUAAUAAAAAAAUUGUUUGAGUGAUGAAGUAAGAAAUUAACUAAAGAUAUUUUUAUCAAUCCAAGUGCCUUGUUUACGUCCACUCAAUAUCAUAAUUCUUGCUCGAAGAUCGACAAUACAAAAAAAAAAGGAAUAAAAAGGGUUGGGUUUCGGCAGAACCAUUGAAUAUAUAUAUAUUCAAUGGCAGAACUGAUCUAUUCCUGGAAACAAUUAUCUUUAGCUUGAAGAGUUACAUGACACCAUGACGUUGUCUCAAUUCUAUACACACUCAGCGAUCCUUACACUUUUGGAAGCCCAGUCAACACCUGCUUAUGAUUACCGCGCUGGUUAAAUUCAAUAGGUGUAAGAUAUUUGAAAGCUUGGGACCCGUCACGGCGUCACAACCUUAUAGCUUCUGCUCGCGACAGGGGUAGGGGAAGGGAAGGAGAAUCGGUAGGGCUCGCUUACUCUUCCCCUCCAGUGCAGUGCCCGGUGAUUGCAGUAAGACACCCAGGCUUUUAGCUAACCUGCUUUCAGAUAAGAAAAAAGAAUUGUAGCUAAGAGGGGGGUGGGGUGUUAGAACCCCUAACCCCCCCCCCCCUAUGACUACGCCCCUGGUUUUGAAACGUCUUUAGACUUCACAUUAGGCUGCAGAGUAGAACUGUUAAGGAAAAAAGAGGUCCCAGGUGUGAUUCGUCACAAGUAUUCUGUAAAGUGCGCAAAUUAAAUUACUUUUGUGUAUAAAAAUUCAAUUAAAAUAGAAAAUAAGAAAUGAAGAUAUUCACCAAACAUCAUCAGCAUUAGAAUACUAGCCAAUCAAGGCGGAAAUGAUUUUAUUUUUAAAGCAGUGGGUACGUAAUGCGAUUCAUAGCUUAUGUUCACUUUUAAAUUAGUGUUAAUUGCGUCAAAUAAUUAUGAGAACGAUAUCCGACGGCUCGAAGUCGCUCCAGAAUCUAUCACCGCAAGUAUCGAUUAACUCCCCCUGAAUCGUGGCGAAGUGGUGUUUCGCAGGGGUUAUUUCUUCUGCAGACAGGUUGCGCAUAACAUCGAGGUCAAGACGUCACAUCGUCCAUAGAGAAUACGUCACGAUGCAGGUUUGUGAGAAUCUCCAUGGAGCCGCGAAUGAUUCCUAGUUCCGUGGUCGAUCCGGGAUCGAACCUUCUGGAUCGUGGUUUUCUGCUAUGGCCACGGCGAGCAUCGUUGGCAGGGUGUCCACAAGGAAAAUAUAUUUCGUACCAACUUAGGCGAGAAAAAAGUACUAGAUUUGAAAAAAAAAAGUACUAAAUUAUAAUUUGUUAUGGUUUUAACAAUUUAGGAAGUUAUAAUGAAAUUGCAAUGCUCUAACUUAAACAUCACACCACACACACGUACAUUCCAUAGUUUUUAAAAAUAAUUACGCUUAAUAAUAAAACAUAUUGGAGUUACUGUAAUAUUAUUAUAUUAAAGAAAAAAAGUACUAGAACUCGGCGUAAAUGUACUAGACCACUAAAAGUACUAGAUCUAGUACGAAAGUACUAACUGUGGAACCCUGAUCGUUAGUUGAAUUUGAACGAUUCGCGGAAGGGUGGGAAAUUCCGGAAGCUGAGGGGUGGGGGGGAAGCGCAUCCCUCGCAUGCGGGGUCAGAGGUCAGGAUCAAUACGAGUAUUUUCUCCCGGUGUCCUUCGAACGCCCGCCCAAUACGCGCCCAGCUGAGGUCCCGGCACGGGGCCAUCGAUCCGCGGGCCGCGCGGGAAAACUGGGUCACGCGGUACCGGCCGUGCGAGCAGCUGACGCGCGGAGCUAGCGCCGCGCCGGUGCAGCGCUCUGUCGGCGCGCGGAGGAACUACGUGGUGCGCGCAGCUUCGGGCCCCGACGCGCCGGUCGCCGCCAGUUGGAUCCAGACUUCAGCCCGCGCCGGCAGCAGCGCAGCUGAUUGGUCCUCGCCAGCGACGCCAGUGAGAGUGGACUGAGCGCCGCAGCCAUGCUGAACCCUAGCGAGCAGCUGUCCAAGCCCGCGGCAAAAUGGCGGCUGCCGCGCGUCGCGCGCGACGGCCGGACGUCCGGGGGCUGGUGGCGCGUCUUCAGGCUGGCCAACCUGCUGCUGCAGACGGGCUGCUGAGGGCGCCUCUAGCGGCCGCUGCGAGAACCUCUUCGUCUCUUCGCCCCGUCCGGCACGAUGACGUCACGCGCCCAUAGACUCCACCCGUCAUAGUCCGAGCACACCUCGCAUAGCCCGCGCGUUGCGCGAGGAGUCUCUUAACACAAGCAUGUAAUUAACAUUACCACUCAGUAAUCAAGUAACUGGGGCGAGCAGUCGCCAUGUAACUAUCACUAGAACACUAAUUAAAAUGAUGUACAGAGUUUAAUGAUUUAGCGUUUAAGGAAAUGGUGCCUCCUUGAAUGUUCGGCCUAUUGCACUUAAAUUAUUCAUGUUAUUUGCGUACAUUUUCAUUCAAUACAUACACACACUACGUUUUCCAUUAUAUUUAGUAAUCAUAAGGAAGCAUUUCAGACGAUAUUGAGACGUUAGAGACUUUAUUAUUACUAUACAAAUGUAUUCACAUAAUACUACAAAAAGUCCAUCAAUUGUAUACGGAGUUAGAGGAAAUGUUCAGGAUAAUAACAUAAAAGUACAAAUCGAAAUAUUUUUUUUUGUACUGUAUGUGUUCAUAAUGAUAAAUUGACAACAUCUUAAAAAUAUAUUUGUGAACGUUAAAAUGGUAGUCUUAAUGGUAAAGAAAGUUAAUGUAGUAGUAUUUUUUUUAGACCACUAACUAUUUUUGUGAUUUAGUAGUUUGUUCAGAACUUAAAUUAUAUUUAGCAUGUGAUACGUUAGUAAGUUAUUAAUGUUGUUAAAUAAUAUUUUAUCUUGUAAAUUUGUUCUGGAUUAAAAGUUUAAUCAUUUA